GGCUAUUAAGUACAGUAGUAUUUACACCUAACUGAUCACAACCAGUUACAGAUUUCUUUGUUCCUUCUCUGCUUCCACUGCUUCACUUGACUAACCAAAA
ensembl:misc_RNA Y_RNA Y RNA